GUUAGACAUGUCAGUUGUACAAUCUUUCUCCGUGCCGAGAAUAGUUCGUUGUAUAUCCUUGAUCAUCAGCUUUUGGGCCACAUCUACUAACUUAUAAAAUUAUCUUUAAGAAAUAGAAUUAGUCAAAUGGUAUGCACCUUUUAAUAUUACUAGAAGUUUCCAAAUUGCCUUCCCAAAGAUGAUUUAUUUAUUCAUCACCACUGUCCAGCCACGCCUCCGAAUAAGUGUUAGCNNNUUCCCUGUCCCCUCCCUUCCUAGGCCAUAUCAGAAUCUGUUUUUUGGAAGGGAAAAGAUUUUGAUUUGAGGUGAGCAUCACUAGUUCGAAAACUCAUUCCACGGGUGUUGCAGGUUUUCAAUUGCAAGUCACAGAAAAUCUACC
rnacentral:lncRNA from 1 species